rnacentral:lncRNA from 1 species
AAGCCGAUCAUCAGAUCACCAGCAUCAAACGUUGGAAGUGUCAAAAAGGUGAGUCGAACUAUAUCUUCUCUUCUUCUCUAAUACAAAAAGAGAAGAUUUGAUAUUUUAAGGAUUAGUAUAGAUGAAUAUUAAGUUCUGUGCACUGACAAAGAUACAAAAUAUUUACACAAUCAUAUUCCAUAAUAUAAUUAACAGUAUAUCUCUGUGAUAAGUACUAGCUUGUGAGUUAGUAAAUCACUAGAGUCUAAGGUAUGUUUCAUUAUAUACUCAGCAUCUCUCCCGUAUUUUCUCAAUGAGGGAUUUGCCUAGGGUGUCACAUACACCUCCUUAGGGACUCAUCGUCCUCACUGAGAUUUGCCCCACUACCGUUAACUGAACGGCCUAGACCCAAACCGAACAAUAUCACUAGUGGACUGGGCUGUUACACUAUCACAGGUUAAAAUUCACCGAUCGAAUCAAAAAAUUUACACAACAAAUGUAUGUGUAACUUUCAUCUUACUAUAUGAAUAGUUAAUGAUGGCCAUAGUGUGUACCCGAUGCCUAAGCAGCAUUUAGGCUAAUUAAUUAACGGCUUAACCUAAUUGGUAAUAUAACAUUCUAGACUUAGCUCAUUGAUUUUCUACUACUUACUGUCCAUCUCCAUCAAUGACCCAAUUUCUGCAGUGAACAAACGCUGUUUAAUUGUGUAAGAAGCUGAUAAUACUAAAAAGAAAGGACAGAAGUAUAAAAUCUAUAAUUACUACUGCCUAUUUAUGCUCAAAUUAAAGGAAGCGAUAGCUUAACCUCCCACUAUAUAGUAUAUAAAGCUUGUGCCCACAAGCUUUAAUGCAUCUAGUUUAGGCAAUUAUGAAGUUUAAAUGUAACAUCCAAUUGCACUAUUAAGCAAUAUAUUGGAUUGUUGUUACAUGUCGUUUCAUAUAAUGUAUCGUAUUAUAUUAUACUGCAUUGUAUAAUUGUAUUGUUUGAUGAAUACAACAUUUGUAUAGAUUGUAUCGUUUGCCGUCAUUACCAAGAAAAACAAACUUGCAACAUUGCCAAAAAAAGGAUACGGAGUAGAAUUAUUAUAUAAAAAAGUAGGGUAAAGAAUAAAAUAUGAUUAUUCAAUAAUAAGGAAGGGCAAGAUGAGAGGAAAAAAGCAACCAAAAAAAAAAGCGACGCCACCAUAAAAAAUCCGUCGUUCCAUAAAGUGACUUACGUAACGAUGGAUUUAGCAAUACAAUACAAUAAAAUUUAAAUAACAAUGAAAAUAAAUAUUAUAUUUAAAAUAACAAUACGAUACAAUACGAUACGAUACAAUACAGGUAACAACCAUCCAAAUAAGUUGUAAGUGGUACACACUUUAGUCAAAUUGUGACUUUUUGACCUUUGAACUGUUUUACACUGACUGUAGAAAGAAAUAACUUACCCGUUAAAUGUUGAUGCAUACUAAAUACGUCCUUCGUUGAUAAUAUUUCAUAUUAUUGUUAUCUAUAAUUUUGAAUUUAGGGAUGAGAAGGGGGAAUGAAGAGUUAAGAGCAUUAAACCACGUGAAAUUUAUUUUCAUAAGUACAUAACUACCAAUUAUUUUAUACCUUUAAAAUCCACUUUCAAAACCAAAAACUUGGAACUAAGUAUGAAAAAACUUACGCCGAUAGUAAAAGGCAUCCGAUCCCCAAGAAACCUUCAUGUUGUUGAAAGAAUUACUUUGGAUAGUAAGAUUCCUCCCAAUUAUUACUACUUUCACUAGGUCUUGAGCUCGAAGAAUUCCAAAAUUGAGAUGAAAUAUUUUCAUCGACUUGCUGGUAAUUACUUGGUGCUUGUUGUACCAAAGAUGUCAUCGACGAUGAUUCUGAAAUGGAAGUACUUGACAGUGGCGGAUUUAACCAUGAGUUUGCUGGUUCAGCAGUAUUCAGUGUGUCAGGACCGAAUCCUGCAUAAGUAUGAAAAAGAAAAAGUAAAUGAAAUUAAAUAUAUAUUUCAGUAUUCACGACUUUUAAAUUUUGGACCCGCCACUAAUAUUAUAUACCUGAUGUGUGAUUAAAUCUUGAUGAAUCAGCAUUAUUAUUGCCAGUGAGAAGCAGCUGAGGGUAAUGUUGUAAUUGAGAGAAAGGCUUGAAAUUAUAAUUUGGGAGAAAAUUAGCAGCUGAAAUAUUAAUUAAUUGCUCUUGAGUAGUAGUAGCAGUAGUAAGGUAACCAAAUUCAGUUUUAGCUAAAACCCUUUCAGGGAAAUUAAGCUUAGCUUUAUUUCCUUUAAAUUUAAGUGCAGCUUCAUCAUAAGCAAUAGCAGCAGCUUCAGCAGUUUCAAAAGUGCCAAGCCAAACUCGAGCAGCUUUUUUUGGGUCACGGAUUUCGGCUGCGUAUUUUCCCCAUGGUCUUUGCCUCACUCCUCUAUAAUGUCUUCUUCUUUCAAUAUUCCCUUCACAUAUAUACAACACGUAUAACAAAAAGGUUUAAAUUUGAACCAAGGAAACAAGGAGAAAUUAAGCUAUUUGUGGAAGUAGAAAGAGUAUUUAUACUGUACCGAAGUUAGGAAUUUUCUCGAGGGUAUUCAAAUUUGAAAGAAGUGAAAAAACAAUUCUGACAAAGGGUGUUCAAUAUGUAUUAUAUACCUAUAAAACGUAAUAUUUUACCUAUAUACAUAGUGCAAUUUUUCAAUGAAGGGUGGUCAACUGUAUAUAUAUCAUGAGUUCGAGUCGUUGAAGCAACCAUUAGUGUUUGAAUUAACGUAGGUUGUCUACAUCACACCCCUUAGGGUACAACCUUUUCUCAGACCCUGCAUGAACGCGGGAUGUGUAUUGUGUUAUGCAUCGAACUGUCUUUUUUUUUUUUUAAUUUACAAAAAGGUAUAUAAGUUGUUGGAAAAAUUGGUUAUGGAGAAUAAGAAUUAGCUUGAGGCGUGUCCAUAGGACACUGUCCUUAAGGAUAUUUCGGUCACACAGUGAUAAAUAAAAUUAGGCGUAUCCCCCAGGAUUCAACAAGCUUUUCUAGUUAUUAAACCGGGAACAGAACUAGUAGAAAACUCAAGAAUGAAAUGAGACUGGGAAUAUGAAUUGAACUAGCAGAAAACUCAAGAAUGAAAUUAAACUGGGAAUAUGAAUUGAACUAGCAGAAAACUCAAGAAAGAAACCCCGCAUAUAGGAGGAAAAGAUGAUUCAAAAAGUUGUAUUAGAAAGCGUCUUUAGCUCUCCAAAGACAUGUUUAUAUAGGCGUUGCUCCAACGGCUAGAUAACGGCUAGUUAGCGGCUAGUUUGACUCUAUUAGUAAUAACUUACUAAAUAAUAAGUAGAUGUAAAUAUUGUUUCAAAGAGAAAAGAUUUUCCAAGUCAAAAUAAACAUUAUCUUUUGAGAUAUAUAAUUUUCCAACAUAAUUAUCUCACACCAUCAUAUAAAAUGAACCUUAGUUCUACAAUAGGUAAUUAACUCGACAUCUAUCAAGCCCGAUACAGUAAUCUAAAAAAUAGAGUGGGAACCUGCAACUACAACAAAUUAAAUUAAUUAUGGUGUAAAAACUCUUUACAUCGUUAGUGUAUAUUAUACCUAUCAUCUUAUAAAUUAAUUAGUCAUCUUCUGGAAAAACCCUAAUAAAAUUUGGUUGAUAAUGAAAAUCAUCAACAACAAGUUGCAAAUUAAUACACAUUAUUUUUUCUGUCUUUAACAAAAAGGGGCUAAAAGAGAAGUUUGUUUCAUAGUUUUGCAUGAUAUACUAAUCUGAUUUUCAUUACGAACUCAUUAACCAAAUGAUAUACAGUUAACCCUCUCUAUAAAAACCUCGUUUGUUCUGAUUUUUUUUUUUUUGGUUAUUAUAGUGAACUGUUAUUAUAGGAAACAUGUAUUAUAACAUGAAAAAUAAUUCCAAAGAAAGCUUGAACGUAACGUACGUUAGAGUAAAGUGUUAUUAAAAAGGAUGACGGUUAUGAAGAAGUCUGACUGUACAUAUACCUUGUUGUUGAUUGGGCUGAGGUUGGUUUUGCACAGAGAGAUGAUUUAGGGUAUUUCCAGCAGCAGUAGUAAUAGUAGAAGAAGUGUUGCCAAUAACUUGAGAGAGGACAGAAACCAUAGUAGACAUAUCUUGCUGAGAUCGAGCUGCUGAGUACAUAUUAGGAAAUAUCUCAUCUUUUUUCUCCUUCGAUUCAUUGGAUGAAAAGGGCCUCUUGCCAUUUCUAAUUUGAUCCACUUUUGCUACCUUUUAAAAAAAAAAAAAAUCUUCAAGAGAAAACCUAUGAUUUUAUUCAAACACAGUAGCUAAUUAGGAGCUCUAACUUUGUACUAACUGCUGAAAGGAAAACACAUGAAGAAGUUAAAAACAAAGAAAAGUGAAGAUUGAAGAAUGCGUAUAUAUAGGAGUAAGAGAAUAAAGAGGAAGGAAAUGCUAGGGUUUACAACUAUAGAUUUAUAGACUAUGUGAACUACGUAUCUAGAAUGAGUGUAGAUUUUAUAUUAAUAUUUAUUGGUCAUGCUAAUUUGUCGUUACUGCUUAUUUUACUAGGACAUGAGCCUUGGAGUAACUUAUUUCGCCGUGCACGAAUCAGUUACUGACGCUUACAUCAGGGUAGACUGUCUAUAUAUAUCACACCUCCUUGGUUGGGGCCGUUCCCUAGACCAUGGUGAGCACGAAAUAUUUCGUGCACCGGACUACCCUAUUGCUUAUUUUACUACUACUACUAUUACUACUACUACUCCUUCCGUUUCAAUUUACGUGAACCUAUUUGAUUAGACACGGAG